UACAGGGGGGGCAAGCGUUGUUCGGAAUUACUGGGCGUAAAGGGCGCGUAGGCGGCCCGUCAAGUCCCGUGUGAAAGCCCCCGGCUCAACUGGGGAGGGUCAUUCGAUACUGAUCGACUCGAAGGCAGGAGAGGGAAGUGGAAUUCCCGGUGUAGUGGUGAAAUGCGUAGAUAUCGGGAGGAACACCAGUGGCGAAGGCGACUUCCUGGCCUGUUCUUGACGCUGAGGCGCGAAAGCUAGGGGAGCAAACGGG
rnacentral:rRNA from 1 species